GUGAGGAAUAUUGCGCAAUGGAGGCAACUCUGACGCAGCCAUGCCGCGUGCAGGAAGAAGGCGCUACGCGUUGUAAACUGCUUUUAACCGGGAAGAAACCCCAGGACGUGUCCUGGGUUGACGGUACCGGAGGAAUAAGCACCGGCUAACUUCGUGCCAGCAGCCGCGGUAAUACGAAGGGUGCAAGCGUUAUCCGGAUUCAUUGGGUUUAAAGGGUGCGUAGGCGGAGCGUUAAGUCAGUGGUGAAAUCCUGCAGCUUAACUGUAGACUUGCCAUUGAUACUGGCGCUCUUGAGUGCGCUUGAAGUGGGCGGAAUGUGCCGUGUAGCGGUGAAAUGCUUAGAUAUGGCACAGAACACCAAUUGCGAAGGCAGCUCACUAAGGCGAUACUGACGCUGAGGCACGAAAGCGUGGGGAUCGAACAGGAUUAGAAUACCCCUGUAGUCC
rnacentral:rRNA from 1 species